rnacentral:rRNA from 1 species
CGUGCUUACACAUGCAAGUCGAACGAUGAACCCACUUCGGUGGGGGAUUAGUGGCGAACGGGUGAGUAACACGUGGGCAAUCUGCCCUUCACUCUGGGACAAGCCCUGGAAACGGGGUCUAAUACCGGAUACGACCACUGGAGGCAUCUUCGGUGGUGGAAAGCUCCGGCGGUGAAGGAUGAGCCCGCGGCCUAUCAGCUUGUUGGUGGGGUAAUGGCCUACCAAGGCGACGACGGGUAGCCGGCCUGAGAGGGCGACCGGCCACACUGGGACUGAGACACGGCCCAGACUCCUACGGGAGGCAGCAGUGGGGAAUAUUGCACAAUGGGCGAAAGCCUGAUGCAGCGACGCCGCGUGAGGGAUGACGGCCUUCGGGUUGUAAACCUCUUUCAGCAGGGAAGAAGCGAAAGUGACGGUACCUGCAGAAGAAGCGCCGGCUAACUACGUGCCAGC